rnacentral:lncRNA from 1 species
GUUAUAUUCCUAUAAAAUCCUUCUUAAUUAAAAAGUGUGAUCAACAUAGCUAACAGCUAUAAAAGGGACAUCUGUGCCCUAUGCAUUUCAUCUCUAUGCCUGAGAGCUCUCCAAACCUCCCUCCUUCUUAGAUCAAUGGCAAAAAAGUAUAACUUAUUAUCUCUAUUGUACUUAUGAUAAACAAAAUUGUGGGGCUGGGCUGAUACGAGUGCUGGUGCAAGGUGGGGAAAUAAGAGCAGGGGCCUUAAUAAAACCAUCUUAAGAAAGAGGAGUAACUGAUUAUGGAUAUACUAGACAUUUUGGAUAGAUGUAAACCACUGCUUUUUUUUUUUAAAUGUAAAACCUGGUUUUAAAAGAGUUAAUGUAUAAACUGUGAAAUGUUUUAGCAAUAUGAAAUCUGGUUUUGACUCCAUGGCUCAGUCUCGGCACUACCCCUGUCUGUGGUGCAAUAAACUCAGUUGAGCUGCAUGUAAUCUAUUUACAAAAACAGCAGCUUUGCAGUCCUUGAUUUGUGUGUCCUUUUAAUUUCUCCAUCCCUGUUGAGUCUCCCUCUGAUGCACCAUGCCAUGAAGAUGAUUAACCUCCAGCACUUUAUCAGCCCAAGAUCCACGGCUGUGGCAGUGCAAGGAACUAUCCUGGUGUAACUGUAGUGCAAGCCAGGCCUGAAGACCAGGUGCUGGGUCUCUGCCCGCUAAGUGCAAAGCCGUUUCUUCCUCACAAAAGCUAGCAAUUUGCUUAAAUCCUGAGAAUAAACCUUAAAUGCUCAGUAAGAUAAGAUUGAUAAGAGGCAACCCCAGCCUCUUAUCAAAUAGAUGGCUAAACUGACCCCCAGGUGGGCUUGGGAGGCAGGGUUCUCCAGACAGUUCUGGAACUUUCUCCUGAGCGCCCCUCGCACCCUCAGGAGCAGCUGCUGGAGGAACCCACAGGUGCAGUGCAGUGCAGUGAUCCCGGCAGGCACUCACAGACACCUGAACCCAGGUGCAGCUGUUCUGGGCACCAGAACCUGGUGUUGCCCUUCCUUGGGAAGGAUGAAUGAUGUGGUUAUUGGGAGGAUAAGAAACAUAAGAAAGACAAAGACCAUUGGGAAACACCCACACAUAGACAGUGGACAAAGAAAGAAAGAAAUGCUAAAUAUAGAAAUAAAUUGUUUAUCCUGA